UGUGGCCCCAGCCUCCGUGCCCUCUUCCCUCCAGGGGGGACUCGGUGCCUGCCUGGGGAGGAAGGAGAGGCGUCGCAGGUCAGCAUGGGGUGGCUACAGCCGGCGUUGGCCUCAGGCACAGGCUCCACAGGGCAUGUUCCCACCAGCCGCAUGGUGGCACGUGAGGGAGGACCCUGGAGGGGGACCUUCCUGCGAGAAUUGGUGGGGGCCGCGCUCUCCACUUUCUAGAGGUGGCGGCCGACUGCGCUUCGGGUGUUGUGUGCAAAGCCCUGUUUCCUGUUCCCUGCGCUUGUAUCCUGCUGCCUUCCCUCCUUCUGGUGAGGCUCGCGCUGCCCUUUGCUGGCCUGUGCUGCCACUGCCGACCCGUGUCCUGUGGUGGAGCUGUCGUGGGGCUCACGUGACUUCCCUUCCUACAGGCGUCUGAGCUGGGCCACAGCCUGAACGAGAACGUCCUCAAGCCUGCGCAGGAGAAGGUGAAGGAGGGAAAGAUUUUUGAUGAUGUGUCCAGUGGGGUCUCUCAGUUGGCGUCCAAGGUAGGGAGCCUGCCAGAUACGCGGGCACAGUCGAAGCCAGUCUCCAUAUUCCACGGCCCUGGGCGUGAGAGCAGGGUGUGCCCCGUGCAGCCCUCAGCCCAGCUCGGCAGUGGCCGCUGUCCUCUGAGACGGGAGGAGAGCUGCCCAGCCUGACGGCCCGAGGGAUAUGGAAACAGCUUGGCCCACUGCGGCCCGGUCAGCCACUAACUGUCACUUCUCCCUCUGCUCUUAUCUUGCUGCUGCUGGCCUUUUCUUCGGUAAGUGCCAGCGCCAUCUUUGCUGCCAUCAGUCCCACUGCUCUGCGGGCCAUUUGGGGCGUGCAUUUUGUCCUGUUUCCUGGCCUGAGGUGCUCUGCGGACAGACAGGGAGGGAAGAGCAGGCCUCGCUCCUCUCCCCCAAGCAUGUGGUGGGAGCUCUUGAGGUCUGUGCACGAGGCUGUCCUCGCUGCCAUGUCCCGCAUGCACCUGGCGCCACUGCAGAGUGGCUGUGCCCGUCUGUGUCUGUACGUGUGUGCGAGGCACCCCUUGUUUCUGGAUUUUGCCUGGGUCUUCUCAGCGGGACGGCGCGUGCCGGCUUGUGUGUGGGGGCCUCCUAAAGCUGCCUGUGCUGCG
rnacentral:sRNA from 1 species